rnacentral:rRNA from 1 species
UACAGAGGUCCCAAGCGUUGUUCGGAUUCAUUGGGCGUAAAGGGUGCGUAGGUGGCGCCGUAAGUGGGGUGUGAAAUUUCGGAGCUUAACUCCGAAACUGCAUUCCAUACUGCGGUGCUUUGAGGACUGGAGAGGAGACUGGAAUUCAUGGUGUAGCAGUGAAAUGCGUAGAGAUCAUGAGGAAGACCAGUGGCGAAGGCGGGUCUCUGGACAGUUCCUGACACUGAGGCACGAAGGCUAGGGGAGCGAACGGG